rnacentral:rRNA from 1 species
CGUAUCACCCAAGACAACUUUACGGAGUUGACGAUUGACGGAGCGAAGCGACGUCAAAGCGUUCAUUAAAGUCGAGUUGGCUUAGGGAUACGUUCGUUGGGUAGGGGAGCGUUCUGUAAGCCUGUGAAGGUGUGUCGUGAGGCAUGCUGGAGGUAUCAGAAGUGCGAAUGCUGACAUAAGUAACGAUAAAGCGGGUGAAAAGCCCGCUCGCCGGAAGACCAAGGGUUCCUGUCCAACGUUAAUCGGGGCAGGGUGAGUCGACCCCUAAGGCGAGGCCGAAAGGCGUAGUCGAUGGGAAACGGGUUAAUAUUCCCGUACUUGGUGUUACUGCGAAGGGGGGACGGAGAAGGCUAUGUUGGCCGGGCGACGGUUGUCCCGGUUUAAGCGUGUAGGUGUGUGUUCCAGGUAAAUCCGGUUCACUUUAACACUGAGGCGUGACGACGAGGCACUACGGUGCUGAAGCAACAAAUGCCCUGCUUCCAGGAAAAGCCUCUAAGCAUCAGGUAACAUCAAAUCGUACCCCAAACCGACACAGGUGGUCAGGUAGAGAAUACCAAGGCGCUUGAGAGAACUCGGGUGAAGGAACUAGGCAAAAUGGUGCCGUAACUUCGGGAGAAGGCACGCUGACACGUAGGUGAAGUG